rnacentral:rRNA from 1 species
GAUGAACGCUGGCGGCGUGCUUAACACAUGCAAGUCGAACGGUGAAGGCGGAGCUUGCUCUGCUGGAUCAGUGGCGAACGGGUGAGUAACACGUGAGCAAUCUGCCCCUGACUCUGGGAUAAGCGCUGGAAACGGCGUCUAAUACUGGAUACGAGCUGCGAAGGCAUCUUCAGCAGCUGGAAAGAAUUUCGGUCAGGGAUGAGCUCGCGGCCUAUCAGCUUGUUGGUGAGGUAAUGGCUCACCAAGGCGUCGACGGGUAGCCGGCCUGAGAGGGUGACCGGCCACACUGGGACUGAGACACGGCCCAGACGCCUACGGGAGGCAGCAGUGGGGAAUAUUGCACAAUGGGCGAAAGCCUGAUGCAGCAACGCCGCGUGAGGGACGACGGCCUUCGGGUUGUAAACCUCUUUUAGCAGGGAAGAAGCGAAAGUGACGGUACCUGCAGAAAAAGCGCCGGCUAACUACGUGC